GAUGAACGCUAGCUACAGGCUUAACACAUGCAAGUCGAGGGGAAACGAUAUUGGAAGCUUGCUUCUGAUAGGCGUCGACCGGCGCACGGGUGAGUAACGCGUAUCCAACCUGCCCAUCACUUGGGGAUAACCUUGUGAAAGUAAGACUAAUACCCAAUGACGUCUCUAGAAGACAUCUGAAAGAGAUUAAAGAUUUAUCGGUGAUGGAUGGGGAUGCGUCUGAUUAGCUUGUUGGCGGGGUAACGGCCCACCAAGGCGACGAUCAGUAGGGGUUCUGAGAGGAAGGUCCCCCACAUUGGAACUGAGACACGGUCCAAACUCCUACGGGAGGCAGCAGUGAGGAAUAUUGGUCAAUGGACGAGAGUCUGAACCAGCCAAGUAGCGUGCAGGAUGACGGCCCUAUGGGUUGUAAACUGCUUUUAUAAGGGAAUAAAGUGGGAGUCGUGACUCUUUUUGCAUGUACCUUAUGAAUAAGGACCGGCUAAUUCCGUGCCAGCAGCCG
rnacentral:rRNA from 1 species